rnacentral:rRNA from 1 species
UACAGAGGGUGCGAGCGUUAAUCGGAAUUACUGGGCGUAAAGCGUGCGUAGACGGUUAUUUAAGUCGGGUGUGAAAGCCCCGGGCUCAACCUGGGAAUUGCAUUCGAGACUGAAUAGCUAGGGUACGGUAGAGGGAAGCGGAAUUUCCGGUGUAGCGGUGAAAUGCGUAGAUAUCGGAAGGAACAUCAGUGGCGAAAGCGGCUUCCUGGACCAGUACCGACGUCAGGCACGAAAGCAUGGGGAGCAAACAGGA